rnacentral:pre_miRNA from 1 species
CGGUGACAGUCUCCCCCCCCCAUAAAGUAGCGAGCACGACUCCGCCCCCGCGCCCGUGUAGUGUUUCCUACUUUAUGGAGGGGGUGGCUGGGAG